UUCACAAAGUUUCAGUGCAUGUUGAAGGGAAUAUUUCAAGUUUGGUUAUCGCCUUAAGACGCUCUCAGGCUGUAAAUCAUGAGUCAGGGAUAUUCAGUACAAUGCACUGGAUGUAAUGUGAAUUGUACCUG